GUGAUUUGUGUCCUUAGGAAAACAGUGAAGUUAUCAGUGAAAGAGAAGAACAGACAGAAUGUUUCACAUCAAUGCAGGAAAACAAUGAAGAUAGCAGCCAAAGAGAAGAGCAAACAGAAGAACCCUACACAUUGGCAGAGGACAGAAAUAUCCAUUCCCAUGGAUUAACCGAAGAGCAAAGCUGCAUCUCAAUACUAUCCUUAGCACUGAAACACAACACUACAGGUGUAUUGAUGGAAGAUCUACUGAAACUUCUAAGAUUACAUUCUGCUGGGACAAGUGCAGUUCCUGCAAGCAAGUAUUUUUUGGAGAAACCAUUAGCUAGUCUUGUAGAUGUGUUUGAAUACCAUCAUUAUUGCAGACUAUGCUCUAAAUACCUUGGUAUAUCACAAUCACAAGAAUGCACACAAGAAACACUUUCAUGUGUGUCA